ensembl:lncRNA
GUGCAUUGCUUUUGAGAGAGUUAAACACACCAAUUAACUGAUGUUAAAAGAGAACUUAAAUUUUUUAAGGUUUGAAAUAGAACUUAAAUUUUUUUUUAAAUGUCAGCAUCUCUGCAGGACCGCACUGCUUGCUGUUUGGGUGUCUAGACUUGUCAGAUAGAAACCUUAGCCUGUUGUUUUGAGCUGAGAAAUUCAUCCUGAGCCUGUGACUUGGAGAGGUGUGAGGGAAGAUGCACACUGCUUGGUUUGUAGGGCACUUUGGGAUCGGUGUCAGGAGAAAGCCAGCCAGACAAGUUGGUGAGGUGACACUCGUGACAGAUGUCUGCCCCGUUUCUGUAAAGCUGCUGACAACAGUGAGAAGAGUGGCAGCGGAGACAGGCUGACUUUUGGGACCGGGACGCGUUUAGCAGUGAGGCCCAGUAAGUCUGAGAGGAAAGUGGAACAUUUAUGUCUCUUCCUAUCAUUUGUUCUAGCAUAAUUUUUGCAUUGUCCUGUUUUACAUGCCAGAUGUACAAACCAUAGCCCCUUUAAAUGUCUGUGGCUGAGGGCCUCUGUCCUCCCCAUCUUCUCCUACGUGACAGGGGCGUGUUUUGUGACCUUGUCUCUCUCAUGAAGAAAUCGACAGCAGUGCAGUUGGUAGCCAUGUGCUGGCAGUCCCUGCCCUCAUCUCCAGUCCCCUUAUCUCGUUAUGUGGUUUUUGAGUUUUCACAACAGCAACAGGGAGGGGAAGAAAUGACCAGCAGCUUCAGCAGGGCUGUGAGCUGUUCCUGGUGUCUGAGGGCUUUGGAGCAGCUGUAGCUAGAAGUUCUGGAGGUUCAGGGCAUGGGUCUCUGGCAGAGAGAUUUAUGUAAAGGGUUGACAUGGGGUGUGAAUACAGGAGGAGGUAACAGACUCAUCUUUGGAAAAGGGACUCAGCUCAUCAUCCAGCCCCGUAAGUGCUUGUGCCUGAGAGCUGGGGACCUUACUGCAGACCGCAUGGAAAUAUUCCCAGACCUUGCUGAUGAGCCUCUGGUCCCAUGGGCAUAUCAGCAAGGUCCUAAGCCCACAGGCACUUUUGAGAUGUGUAGAUGUGGGAGGGGAUAGUCUGGGGGGGUGGGGGUCCUGGUUGCUUAUUGUGAGUGUACCCCCAUUACUGGGGAUUCUGGAUUCUGGCAGACAAAGGAUACCUCUUGGGACUGAAGCAUGAAUAUAUAGCGACCGUUUUGUUAUCAGCACCUUUGCAAUGAAAAUGACUCUCAUGGGUGUUGUGGACAAGGCUGUGUGGAUAGAAGUUUGAUCGUUUCUUCUUUUCUGUCUUCAUGCCCUCUUCUCCGCCUGACUUAGGGACCUUAAGUUAGAACAGUUAUUAAUCAUUUGCUUUCUGAGUCCCAUCUCUCAUCAAAUUCUGACAAGAGAGAUUCAUUAACAUAAAACCCAGAAAGGGAAAGGACAAGGAGUUAAUUCCCAGCGUCUGGGGAGUUGAACUUGACAACUUCUCAGUCUUCAUCAGCUAGCCAGCACUCCAUGAUGAAUUGAGGUCAAAGAGGGUCACAACAGGUAGUAUCUGGCCAGAGCCCCACCGCCCUCCUAGGGUUAAUGCUGCACAGUUUGGGAGAUGGAUGAAAAGGGAUCCCCAAGAGCUUGCCUGGGCAGCCUGUCCAUGGGGAGAGCUCUGAGUAACAGAGUGUAGGAUGGAGACCAGCAGCAGGUUUCUGUCAUGGAGCAUCUCACAGUGUAACACGGGCAGUGGCGGGAAAGUCAUAUUUGGGACUGGAACGAGACUUCAGGUCACCCUUGGUAGGUAACAGGAACCUUAAGGUAACAACUGUGUGUGUGUGUACAGUCGCUCAGUCACGUCCGACUCUGGGACCCUGUGGACUACAGGCUGCCAGGCUCCACUCUCCAUGGGAUUUCCCAGACAAGAAUACUAGAGUGGGUCGCUGUUUCCUUCUCCAGGAGAUCUGCCUGACCCAGGGAUCGAACCCGUGUCUUCCCCAUCUCCUGCAUUGGCCAGCAUAUUCUUUACUGCUGACCUACCAGGGAAACCUCUGAAACAGGAGUGCUCUGGAGGGGAUAUCCCAGCUGGAUACAGUCCUGCCUUUGUUGCAGUGGGAGGUGGUCUCACUGAAGGCACCAGCAUCCCAUCAGUAUUUGUGCUAGUUUUUAUUUCUACUGCUGAGGCUUUCCUAUCCACCUGGGAAAACAGACUUCUCCCUACUUGAAGCUCUUUCAGUCUUUGUUACUCUGUGUGUUUUCUUUGGAGCAGCAGGUUUGGGAAUUUAUCACCAGGAUUAUGUCACUCUGAGCAACAGAAUGAAAAGGGUUCUCAAAUAGAGAGUAGAGAGCCCUGCUCUUCCAGAUGACUUUUCAAGGGUGACAUGUGCAAACUGGAGGAAGUGGGCUAAAGUGACCUUCUAAUGACUGUUUUUGAGUGACUCUCAGGAAAUUUGCUUAAUGUCCUACACACUCAACUUCUGAGAGUAAUUGUUGGGCUAGACGCUUGGUGGAGUAAGACACUCGAUCCUCUGAAAACCUGAUGAAAUACCAACCCUCUCUCUCCCCCAACACACUGCCGUGUUUCAUUAUUUACCAAUUAUGAAAUAACUACAUGAUAAUUAACGUGAAAUUAUAUAGAUGAGCAGUUUGAGUAUUUUGAACCCAUAAUUAAGAUGCAAAUUAUCAACAAUCUGGAGCAUGCCACCAGGCAGUAACUCAUAUACAGUGGUCCCUGAAGACACAUCAUGUGUUUGGGCAUGAUUUGUUUGUGGCAUGGGUUUAUACCUAAUUUGGGAACCUGUUAGAGAGCUGAUGCUAUGUCUCAGAGUGCCAAUUUGGGUUCUGGAUUAGCUGUGCUCAGUGCGCUGAGAAGUGCCCACUUGCACAGCCUAGUAGCAUGACAAAUGGCCCCAUUCCUGUGAGAGAGGAGAAUGGGACAGUUGUGUUGUGGUCUUAGUUGGUGCCUCUGCCCCCUGCCCCUGCCACACUGGGAGCCUGGCUGCAAGCUUUCUGUGGGAGGUUUUUGUUAGAGGGUGUACUGCUGUGGCAAUAAUAACAACAACCUACGCUUUGGAGCAGGGACCAGACUGACGGUAAAACCAAGUAAGUGAGGGAAGCGGGUCAGUCUGAAAGGCAGUGCUGUUCUGUGCAAUUUAGCAGGAUUGGGACCCUGCUGCUCCCAAGGGGGUAGAUGCACCUAGUUUCUUUGUACCUGAGCUGGUUGGAGUCCGUUUCUUGAUGAGUUCUAGCAAUCCUAAGAAUUAGGUCACGAAGAAGUAGAAAUUUUCGUUGGUUUCUUCCUUGGCUCUGGAUAUAUAAAAAUGCUAAUGAUAACAUGCAAAACCCAAAUUUAAAAAACCAAACAACUCAGAAAUCAGGUUUUCCUCAAGAAGACCCCUCCUUCUCUUCAAGAGGAGCACAGUCAGCUCCUUUGUUGGGUUUUUAUUGGAUUUUAUGGUUGUUGUUAUUCUUUGUAAGAACUAUGAAAGUGGCAUGGUCCCUAGUCCCCAAAAUAGCCACUCUCUGACCCCCGUGCUAGAUGGCAUAUCUCUGCCUGACCUUGAGAUUGUUCCACGUGUCUCAGGCAUGAGUCAGCCAUCAGAACUCAGUGUUCUGGGAGCAAAACUGGGGGUUUAAGAUCAAGCUCAGAUCUAUCUGCACAGCCAGCUGUUAUUUUUAGAGACAUGUCCUAUCCCUGCCAAGGUACUAGGAGUUGAGGCUGCAAAGCAGUGAGACUUUCACUAGAGGGCAAGUGGUCUCCCAUAUUCUGUCUUCCCCUGAAUCCUUCCCAUCUACUGGUAAUUGUAAGGUCCCAUAUGACUGUGUGAAUGUUGGCAGCGGCCAAGGACAGCUCAUCUUUGGAAAAGGCACUAUGGUCUCUGUUAAACCAAGUAAGUGUUGGGGGAUUUCAGAGACUAAUCAAUGAGUGCAACUAAAGUGCAAUCCAGAGAGAAUGAGAAGAAAUGUAGCCGCCCUUCAGCCAUGAGCCCACAGAGCUGCCCUGGUCCAGGCCCCUGGCUGUCCUCAGUUCAGACAGGCCUGGCCUCUGCUGGACACAGGGUUUCACAAUGUGUAACAGGGCCCCCUCCCCAGGUUGGCGCUUCUCAGGAGCGAUCGCCCACCUCACUGUGGUGAGUGAGCGACCUUCUCAGCAAUGGUCUCCUGGAAGAGGGCCCAGGGAGACCCACAAUCUGUGUGACUGCAGGGUGAUGGGUGUUUAGACAUUGGGUUUAAUGGAGGAGAAGAGGCGAGGUCCCAUGAGGAAGAGAGGGGUUUUUGUUUAGGGAAGGUGCACUGUGGAACUCAAUGCCGGCUACGCGCUCCACUUUGGCCAAGGCACCUCAGUGCUGGUCACACCCGGUGAGUUCUUGUGGUUAAUUCCUUAUCCUUUCUGGAGAGCCAUCCAAAGGGACCUGUUGAAACGCAGCUGAAUUUAAUUGCUUCGUUUAGCAUGCGGUUGUUAACUAUGUCGGAUGUGUGAGUAAGAUAUGAAUACAUGUUUCCCUGGAGGCUGAAUUUAGUUAUCAGUCCUAUGGACAGUUUGAUAAAUUGUAUUAAUACCAUAGUCAGUGUUUCUUGAAGGUCCACAAAGCACGUUGAGGCUUUGGGGAAAAAGCAGAGAUAAGAGGCAGAAAAGCUUGGGAUAGAAACAGAAACAAACCAGUGAAAAGGGAGGCUACCAAGAGCAGCGUGUGGCCACAGAAGCGUGUCUUUAACAGAUAAGCACUGAGGGGCUGGUUGCACUUAUGCUGUGUCACCUGGUGGGAUUGGAAAAUCCGGCAGGUGGACUGAGGGCUUGUGUGAGGGGUGGGCAGCAGGAAUUACAAGCUUCUAGUGGCUUUCCUCUGCUGAGAGAACAGUGGAACAAUCCAACUUUCUCUGGUGUGAGGACGGCCCUCAAUGGGUCAUGUCAGUGGACAGCCCCCUCCUUCACUCCGGGGACAAAGGAGUUCCCCACACAGAUUUCUCCCAUCAUCCAGCCUGGCUGAGUCCACUCUGCGGGAGGGACAGAGGACCCCUGUACCCUGGAAGCCUCCCUGUGGCCACUGGAUUGCCUGUGAUAAAGCAGGGUGUUUAUCUGAGUUGUGAAGCUGUCAGGGAGAAGGGAGGAGAGAUGUAUUACAACAAGCAGUGUUGAAAAUGUAUACGCUAUCUCCACCCUUGCAGAGUUCAGCGCUCUGGGAUUUGGGUUUGGGCUUUUUCUGUUAGAAUUAUAGAAACCGAGGUGCUUUCCAUGCAGGCACACUCUUUGCAGAAAUGCCUGCCAUCUCACACUUCACUGGUAUUUUGUCAGCUACCCUCUGUGCCUGAACCGGGUGUGACAAUAAGUAACCAGGUUGAUUUGUUAACAAAUAAGAGUUUGUACAUUUAAAUGAGUGGCCCAGUCAAGCCACUGACAUACACUUCAGUCCCCCCACAUACCCUACUGUGCUUUGCUCACCUCCUCCUUUGAAUCUGCCCUCAAAGGGCCUGGAACAUUCUUCCUGUAGCAGCCUUGAUGGCUUUAUCUUUUGAAGGCGAAUUUUAUUUUUAUUAAUAAGCAAAAAGCUUUUGGAGCCAUGACUUAUAAAUAAAGGAGGGACUCAAAAUAAUUGCUGGUACUAUCAUGGUUCCAAAAAAUGAGGUAUGACUGUAAAAUAAGGUCAUUGUUAUGACCUGUGGCCCAUAAACUGAUCCUAAAGGGAGUACUUUAAAGGGUUCAACCAUCAUUUAGAUCUUUAAAUCUUGACAUGUUUGUUAAAACAGCCUCUUUACUUAAUAAACACGCUUAAGAUAAACAUAGCCUGAGACUGAGGAAGUUUUGCAAGCCCAGACCUAACCAAAGCAAGAAGACUUCAAUAUGAACUGAGGUGUUAUCCCAAGUAAAUCCCUUUUAGAAAAACAUGAGGGCAAAACCUUUCCAUGGAAAAAGUGCAUACGACAUCUUGCUAAUUGACUCCAAAGCUACUGUAAGGAAAGGGGAACCCUGUGUUGGUUUAUGUAGAGCCACAUAGCACUGUGACUCAGGAAACUACAAAUACGUCUUUGGAGCGGGCACUAGGCUGCAGGUUUUAACAAGUGAGUAUUACAGGGAAGACAUUAUUUUAAAUGUUGUUGGUAUCUGAGAGGCAAAGGUAACAUAAGGGAAAUACUUGCUGUAAACUAUGGAAGCAAAAAUAGCAGCUGCCUGAAGUGGCCAUUCUGGGUCCCUCCACUCUGGACAGGAGGGAUGAAGGAGAGCUUGGGGCUCACCAACAUGAACUUACCACCAAUUUCAUAAGAAUUAUAUUAAUUACUAGAAAAUAUUUAUUGGCUUAAGACUUUGAGAGAUUCCUCUAAACACGGGAAUUCUUUCCAAAAUUGUACUCUCAUUCCACAUUUUUCACUUGCUUUUCCUACCCCUCUUUAUGCCUUUCCCCCUCAUCCAGUUCAAUGCUUUAUCUGGGCAUUUGUGUUUUGAGAAACCAUCAUGUCCACUUCUUAGCCUGUGACUUAAGUAAUUAAGUGAAAGAUAUUUCUCAGUCGUGUCCGACUCAUGCGACCCCAAAGGCUGUAGCCCACCAGGCUCUUCUAUGCAUGGAAUUCCCCAGGCAAGAAUACUGGAGUGGGUAGCCAUUCCCUUCUCCAGGGGAUCUUCCUGACCCAGGGAUCAAACCCAAGUCUCCUACAUUACAGGCAGAUUCUUUACUGUCUGAGUCAUCAGGAAAGCAGGCUCUCUAAAACCUGGACCCUUUCUGUUCUCCAAAUCUCUUUCCAGCUGUUCCCUUUCUCAAAUGCUCUGCUCCAGGCAAACUGGACACCUGCUUCCCCUGAAUGCUUACAAUUGCCCACACCUGAACCUGGUGUCCAUAAAUCAGACUCCACGGACCCACCAAUGAAAGCAGACUUGCAGACAUGAAACAAAUUGUUUCUCAGCCAGAAGACCCAGCACAAGUGUCACUAGACUUCAUUUCACAGGACAACUUGAGAAACUAUAUCCCUUCUUCAAAAUGACGGAGGCUUGGGUAAGCGAUCCAACAGGCAAAUAGCAAAGUAGGAAGGAAGGAGAUGCUUCUGUAACAGGUGUGGAGAGGAGGGAAGACAUUCUCUGGAGGAGAACAACACUGACUUAACCCAAGUAGGAAUAUAUGGGCUGCAAUAUUUCCUGUAUAUUUCUUGUUUUCCCUCUGGAGGGGUCCAUUCCGGCUUGUUUGUUGUUAAGCCCCUGGUCCCCACCGCGGUGCCCAGAGGUGGGGAAGGGUGAGGGGGACACUUUGCCCUAUACUCAACAGUGGAAGUAAAAGGUAAAAUCAUUCUCAGAUUUUCCUUCAAGCUACCUCAAAAUUAAGAGAGGUUCAAAAGGAUCACCUUGACAAAACAGGAGAAGCUACCUGUAAAAGAAUGAUUUUAGGUUAGUCCUUGGCGUGUGUUAUCUCCCAGGAAAGGGACAGUAAGAAAGGAAAAGUCUUCACUAGGACAAAGAUAGAAAGUAGUGAAAGUCCUUUUCCUGCUGAUUGUCCAAGCUGGGGAUGAAAGGUCUGGAGCUGGAGUCAAGGGUGAGCUCCAGCACUGACCAGUGCCUGCAACUGUCUCUAGUUUUUUGGAAUGAGAACAAGGCAGGAAUCCCCUUACACGUUCGAGAGCCUGGACAUCAGAGCCAGGCUCCAGCAUCCUGAAAGGGUGGACCAACGUGCCCACCCCUCUUGCUGGGUGGGCAGUGGCAGCUGCCCUCAGUCUCUACCAUUGCGAUGACAGCAUCUCUGACUGCUUUUGCUUUGGUGCCAUGGAUAGGAACUGUUCCUACUUUGUCCAAAUGAGUUAUAUGAUCUUCAGAACCUCAGGAGAAUUAUUAUCUAAAGCACCAGAGGAUAGCUAGGAUUUUGGCAGUCUGGGCUUUUGUGGGAAAGUAUUCUGGGCUUUUGUGGGAAAAUUCCUUCUUUAGAAUAGUUAGAAAGAAUAGCUAGCUUCCAUUCAUCCAAUGUGGAAACAGUUCUGAACUCCAAGCUGGAGCUAGGAUUCUGUGCCAGGUUAUUACUGUGACAAUUACUUAAUAUUCUCCAUGCUCAUGGUAUCGCUUCUUCCAGAAGAUCUUUAGGGAAAACUUAGUUCAGUUUCCAGGAGGUUUUUGCUGAGCUGAAGAUCACUGUGUGAAUAAUAAUGCAGGCAACAUAUUCACAUUUGGAGGGGGAACAAGGUUAAUGGUCAAACCUCGUGAGUAUCUCUGCUGAAUCCAUAAUGAAUGUUCUGAUUUCUAAAGGAAGCCAUAGCACUGAACUUCAUUUGAGGACUUUCUCCACCCAGUGUUUUUAAAGUUACUUCUAACCAUUAAUCCUAAGGAUGAUACAGCAUACAUAUAUGCCAUAUGUACUUGUGAAAACGGGCACAUAGGUAAUUCUCUGGAACAGAAACAAAUAAGCUGGAGGAUAACAGAUUCUUUGUCCUUUUUGUCUUAACCAUUUGCAUCAGAGAGCCUGGGUUGAACUCAGGGACGGUUGAGCACUGGAGUGGGAGAACCUUCUCCAGCAACUUUGUGAGGAUUUUGCCGUGUCUUGCUGGGCUGGUGAGAGGACAGCUUGGUCUGGAGGUUGGGGGAUGAAAUAUGUAACCUCAGAACAGCCUUUGUGUCCCAACCAUGCUGUAAACUGGCCACGAUUAUGAGCAGUCUUCCCCACUGCUUCUUUGGCCAGGAUCCCAGCUGGAGGAGCACGCUGGCUAGAUUUGGGGAUUGAAAGGGAUUUCCUGGUACACACUGGCCUGGUUGGUUUCUGUAAAGCUUUCCAUGACUGUGUAAUACUGGCAACAACCGUAAGCUGAUUUGGGGACUGGGGACAAGUCUGGCAGUAAAUCCAAGUGAGUCUUCAAAUUAACUCUCUCAAACCUGUCUCUGUAGUUUGAAGUAUCUGAGAAACUAUCUCCUCUUUAGAGAGACAGUUUUAAAUGUGCAGUAAUGAGUAGUGUUCUUCUCUUGUCCACCCAAGCUGAGUCCUCGCCUACCUCUCAAUCAAAAUAACUAGAUAGAACAGUUCAGAUGUGCCUGGUGGGAAAGCAAUUGGAGUGUUUGACUGUUGUCUUACAGAGCAAACAGGUGGCCCAUUUCAAAAUAGCCAUCAGGAAGCAUCAAAAGUUAGACGAGGUGAAACUACACGUCAUGUAUCACAGCCUCCUUAGUCUACACUAUACCAACAUCAUCUCAGGCCAUCAGUGAAUUCUGUUAGCCUCCAGCCAAAGGUAACUCCAGUGCUGCUGGGAACUCUCAGAACUCAGGGCCUUCCCAGUGGCCUCCCUGGAGAGCAUCUCCCUAGUAUGGAUUAUCCAGCAUGACUCAAACCUACCAUGUGAUUUCUGCAUCUCUCAGUUCUCUUUGGCUCACAGUCUUAUGGUAGAUUUACUAGAAGCAACAGGGAAAGAAGUUGGUUUCAUCCUAAUUCUGGUCUCUUGAGGAGUUCUUCUCUCCAAGACUCUUCAGAAACAUCUUAGGGACCACCCACCCUGCUCAGAAUUGUGCCUUGUACAACCAGACUGGUUCCCAGCAGUGUUUGCUGUGGCUUUGGCUAGCUCCCAGGGAAUUUCUGGAGCUCCAGGCUGGAGCUGUGGGGAGAGGAGCGGGGGUGAUACAGUGAGCUCAGAGGAUUUGGGAAAGACAUCUUUGAUAGAGGCGUUAAUGAAUUUCUAAAUGAGCUUCUGUGUGUUAACUUGAUAAGACUCUCCAGGGAGAAGGUCAUCCUUACCUUUGCAACUCUAAAUGUAAGUCAUGGGUUGCAAGAAAAAAUGGGAAAUGUCAAUUGCCAUGCCAAAAUGAAGGGAGAGGAUAUACGUAUUGAACCAGUUUUAAUGCUAAGUUUAUGAAAUGUAAGACUUUCAGGAGAACCUUCUCAGGGUACCUUUAUUAAGAUCGAUGAGCUAACUAUUUAGUCAGUGUUACGGGGAUGCACACUUUAAAGGGGAACCCAGAAUUUUUUUAAGGCCAAUGAAAGGUUUAGCCACUAUAGGUGAGUUUUGGAAUCAAACUGCCUGGGUAAACCCUAACUCUGCUACUUGUUAGAUGUGUGACUUCGGGCAGAUAACCUAAUCUCUUUAUGCCUCAUUUUUUCAUCUGUUAAGUGGAAAUAAGAACAGUACCUAUAUCACUGCAUUGUUAUGAGAUUAAGAGAGUUAAUACUGACCAAGGGCCUUGCAUGCAGUGACACAUAGUAAGUCUCCAAUAAAUAUUAGUUAUUAUUACUAGAUCAGGUUGCUGGAGGGAGGAAAGGAUCUCCUUUUACAGUUUUUGUAAAGUAGAGCAUUACAGUGUGACUCAGGAAACACAGGAAGACUCACCUUUGGGCAGGGGACAAUGUUACAAGUAAAACCAGGUAGGUCUGAUGUUCCGAACAGUCCAGAGUUACCCAUUAAGCUCAUUCUUUGGUUAAUCUUCUCUGCCUUUUCAACUUAUCAAAGACUCUUAUUUUUUAGAUUUCAUCUUUCGUUAACACUAGUAAGGAGAAUGUGGGUAAAGCUUGGCUGGUAUGGUCUUUUCUAACUCACUUGGUUUCAGUUAGUGGUGAAAAAAGGAGCAAGACUUGAGGUAAGUUAGGUCUGGAAUUUCUAGGCAAGACCAAGAGAAUAUAAUUUGAUGGGAGACAUAAAAACAUCAAAUGUAAGAAGUGUACCAAAACUAAAGUUGAUUUUACGCAAUAAUAUACUGUAGUGAGAACCACCCCAGUAGCCACGAGAAUUCUCUUAAGAAUUGCCUUUCAAGGGGAAGAUGGGUAACAUGAAAAUGAUAAGUUUUUGUGUGAAAAAAUGGGGAGGAAAAAUGGGAGACUGUUGAUAAUUUGGAUUUUUUUGUUAAGAAACAUGGAAAAGAACAUUUUUUCCAUAGGAUGGUUGGUAAAAGGCUAUCAUCAAGUAGGAGUCAAAAGAGUCAAAAUGUGUAUGGUAUCCCCCGGGUGAACCUCACAGAGAAAGAGGAGGAAGAAAAUGGCCCAGAGUAAAGUGUUUUUGUACUGGGCAGAAACACUGUGUUAACUUCUGGAGCAAACCAGCUUGUCUUUGGGACAGGAACAAGCCUCACCAUCCUCCCCCGUAAGUUCUUUGCCACUUGAGAAAAAGCCCUUAAUCUAUAAUGACCAGCUCUCACAUCCCAGACACCUAAUGAAUUUCUAAAUGAGCUUCCGUGUAUUAACCUGAUAAGACUCUCCAGGGAGAAGGUCACCCUUACUUUUGCAGCUCUAAAUGUAAGACAUGUUGUAAGAAAAAAUGGGAAAUGUCAAUUGCGGUGCCAAAAUGAAGAGAGUGGGUGUAAAUAUUGGGCCAGUUUUAAUGUAAGUUUAUAAAAUGUAACCCUUUCGGGAGAACCAUCGCAGGGCACAUUUAUUAGUUUGUGUCUGCACAGCACAAUCAUCCAGUUAAUUUGAUUAAUGUCAGUAGCUGAUCCAAAUAUUUAGGUAUUUCCUUGAGAAACCUUUUUUGGGCUCAAAAUGGCCUGAAUUGACUGUCACAUUACCUAAAUAAUUGCCAGAUCUGUUUUACUUUGUGCUGUAGAGACUCAGCCUAAUAAAAACAAAUGCUGCUGUGUUUUUUCCCUCGUCUGUCUCGUCUCCACACAGCAAGUUUUCCUUCUAUUCAACAGCAACUCUGCACACAAAGACACCCAGCAAGCCAUUUGACUUACGGCUGCUGCUGUUUUGCAUUUAUAUGACUCCUUUCCUUGGAAGAGAUUAAGACACUUCAUAGGAAUUAUUAGCUAAACAGAUUGACAGCCUAAUUAGAAAGAAAGAAACAGAUUCAGAGGAUCUUUUGUGGCUGCCUUUCCCGCCCCUUCGUGUAGAACAUUUGGUCAGAUGGUUCUGCGAAACAGAGUGAGAAGCCGGGGGCAGGGGGGCGGGGGGUGUGCGGGUGUCUCUGCAGCACACCCCUUCUUAGCUGCAUACGAGAGGUUGUUACGAGAGGGAAAAUAGCACUAAAUAUGUCAGGGUGACUGACAGAGCUGGGAACAUGUUUUUCCUCUAGAACUCCUGUGUUCUCACAAAGCAGAGCAGGACGAAUUUUGACAUCAGCUGUUGCUCUGUGGGUCUACCCUUCUGUUUUCAGCCCCUUCCUUCUCCCACUCCUCUAUCUAACUCCUUUCUCUCUCACACCUGAGUCUCAUCCGCACCCCAGCACCAGCUCUACCACAUACUAAAGAGGCUGCCAGCCUCUCUGGCCAUCAGUGGUGUUGUCCUCAGCUCCAUGAGUGACCCUCCAAAAGCUCAGGCAUCUGAGGGAAUCCUCCCAGCCGCCCCGGGUACCGAAUGCCUGUAUCUAGGCUGCAGCUGGGCCCGGGAUGAGGGAGAGUCUCUGGAGGAAGGUCGGUCACAGAAUCAGGACCACCAUGGCCUUCGUGAUGCGUGUGUCUGAGCCCCCUCCUCCCUGGAAAACUGUAGCUUCCACCUUGAUUCCACAUACGUGGCUCUGAAGGGUGGCAGGUUUUUGUAGUGGAGUCAGCCAUGGUGGAACUUUGGGAAUGUGCUGCAUUUGGGGUCUGGCACUCAAGUGAUCGUUAUGCCUCGUAAGUAUAAGCAUCUCUUCUCAUUUCUGUAGGUUAGUAUGUCAAUCAAAUAAAGGAGUUAUCCCCCCACCCCCAUUUCCCAGCUAGUCUCUGAUGGGAUACGAUUUCUGGAUCUAGCCACACUGCUGGAUUAAGGCGAUCAAAUUCAUUUUCAGAUAUAACUUCAACUGAUUUCCGUUAAUGCUGUCAACAGCAAAGGGAAAUUAGAACGUGGUGGGAACCUAAUCUAUGCUCAUCACUGCUGUGGGAGGGCAAUCAUUUCUUCUUAUCCCCCGGCAGUCAGACUUAGAAUUCAGCAGACCUUUUCCAGGCCUGUCUUCUCUGGCAGAUUAAGUGACUGUGUCCAUUAACUUUCUUGAGGGAAAACAUACAAGAUAGAUACAUUCCCCUUCAGCUUUUCCUCAGAAAGCUUUUUGUUCGUUUUUUAGGCAGUACACUUUAGCUAACAUAUUCCCUCCUAUUCGUGUUAAUAAUAUCUUGGCUUAAACAAGCAAUUUCCCCCCACAUUAUUCAAAAUGCAUUGCUGCGUGUAACCCACUGCCCUCUCACCAGCCCUUUUGCCUUCACAACAUUCUCUGAGAAAGUAAACAGGAUCACACAUCAUCACACAUAAUUUCACAGAGAGAGAAGCUGAAGCGCAGACAAGUUAAAUAAUUUAAGUCAAACCCAAAAAGUCAGAACUGGGAUUACAGCCUGAGAUUCUUUGUUUUCUUACGGUGAAUUAUCUUGAGCUGUCAUCUCUGUGAAUUGAAAACAUAAUAAGCACAGGCCGUAGGAAUUCGCCGGGGAUGGAACUUAACCAAAACAAAAACUGAUUGUUUGAUGAUUGCAUGGGUGUUUGAAAUGUAUGCCCAGAUCUUCUUUGCCACUGGUGAUUAUUUGGUGUCAGAGAUAGGGAGAAAGCAGAGGGGCCAGAUGAGGGCAGAGCACCUUGCUAAGCUCAGGGGUUUUUGUAGGCCUUGGUAUCACUGUGUCUCCAACAGGGACAAACUCAUCUUUGGGGCUGGAACCAGAUUACAAGUUUUUCCAAGUAAGUCGUAGAAACCAAGCAGAGAUUUUGCAAAAAUGUUUUGUAUAAACAGUCAACUGGCUUUGGUUCAUCCUCACGGUACUGUGGGCCACCCUUCCCAACACUGUGCUCUGUAGGGCUUUCCCCACUUCUGGCUGUCUGCUCCUCACUCCCCCGGGAUACCAUUUCUCACAGAGAAAGGGUUCUGUAAACCAAAUCAGCUCAAUCUGUGUGUGAAUACCAUGGUACUGACUAGAAUCUUAUCAGCAGUGAAAACAAGACAGUAGAAAAUCAGAUGCAUCAUGACUCCAGACAAAUGAUCUGUUUUUCUCGUUUGCAUUUUUAUUUAAAGUAUCGGGGAAGGUGAAGCAAGUUCAGCUUCUCCCAUUUAAAAACUGUUUAUGAAUUACUCUUCCCUUGUGUGCAGAGAGAUCGAGAUUGACUUUAGAUGUUGAGUCAUUUGAUUUCAUCAUAUGUGUCUGGAAUCUAUAAUGGGCAAAGGAAUCAAAUGUAAUUAAAUGAGCAAAUAAUCUUCAAUAGUCAAUAUUCCUACAUUGCUUUAUGUGCUUGGCUCUGGACUUUUAUCUGGGACUUAUCUCUAAUAGGCUCCCCAGAAGGACAGUGAAGGUUUUUGUUAAGGUUUUUGUCUCUGUGUGGAUGGCAACUAUCAGUGGAUCUGGGGCUCUGGGACCAAACUAAUUAUAAAGCCAGGUAAGUCUCAGAGAUGUGACUGUAAGGGAGAAGAGACAUGUUGAAUAAUACACGAGGCAUAGCAUGCAAAUUACAUUUUUAAGAACAAUCCAACCUGCUGGAGAAAAGGCACUCGACCCAAAAGGGGUUUUCACUCCCAGCGAGAAGCAGUGUCAGCCACCAACUCUCUUGUUUGAUCUGCUAGCUUCCAGAGUGAACAGUGCUUAACUCGCCCUCCAAGAGAGCAGAGUUGGGUUGUUACAAAGGUUGAUUCCCUCUAAGAUGGUUGGAAUGCUUUCCCAAGGAUAUAACCAGUCUCACUUUGUCAAAAGAGAAGGCCAGAGAAAAGGCCAAGAGCCACAGUCAAAGGCCAAGAGAUGAAAGCCGUGUUUGCCACUUCCCCAACAUCCUUGUCUCUGGCUGCUAUCUUGCAUGGGGAAGCAGAUGCUUGCAAAGCUUCUGGCCAUUUGCUGGAGAACCCCCUGAGGUUCUGGACCUCAGCACAAGCCCCACAAGGAUGUAGUGUAAAAGGUCAUGUCAGGGCACCUGAAGGGUGUAAGGAGCCUAAAGGGACACCUGGCAAGUCAGUUCUCAAAGCAGUGGGACUCAGGAGUUCUUAGCCUGGGAAGACUAAGCCCAUUCGCCUCCAUCCUGCCAUGCCCCUUCCUGUGGGUUGUUGUAAGGCACUGAAAGGCUGUGUGAAUUAUGGGGGUGCUGCCAACCAGCUCAUCUUUGGGACUGGCACGCUGCUUUCUGUCAAGCCAAGUACGUGAGUAGUGGGAUUCUGUGUCCCUGGGAAGCAAGUGGGAAGGAACAGCCACUCUUUGAUGAAAGGGAAGGAUGAAGGUAGAUUUCUUACCCCCUCCAUCAUUCCUUAUCUAGUCAGGCUCUCAAAUGUCCUAAUCUCCUCAUAGCACCACAAAGUCAGAGAAGGGAAAAUGGGCUAGUGUUAAGAUAAAUCCCAGAAAGAAAAACCCCUGAAAAAUUCUCAUCUAAAUGUUACAGGCUUUCUGCUCAGUGAACUUGAUUUCCAGGCCAUUUAUCAGCUCUGGUCCUGCCUUUAUCUAGAUAGAUACAACCUCUCCUAGCCUGUUUAUGCAGUUGUGUGUGAGCUGGUCCAAGCAUCUUAUUUUUCUUCCCAAAGAGACCUGAGAGCUAUGGUUGGCGAGAUGGCUAAGAAGGCAGACAAAACUGACCCACGGUAGGGGAGGCCAAAGACGAGGCUUAGGGUGGGCUGUGGUUGUUAUUUAGACACCAAGUCAUAUCCAACUCUUUUGCAACCCCAUGGACUGCAGCCCACAAGGCUCCUUUGUCCAUGGGAUUGCCCAGGCAAGAAUGCUGAAGUGGGUUACCAUUUCCUCCUCCUGGGAAUCUUCCCAACCCAGGGAUCAAAUCCACGUCUCCUGCACUAGCAGGUAAAUUCUUUACCCGUGAGCCACCAGGAAAGCCCUAGGAUAGAUUAGGUCAGUAUCAAAAUGGUAACCCAUGGAACACCUUCCCCAUAUGUCCUGCAUCUGUUUCCCUUUUCGUUUUCCCUAGAAUACAUCCUUUUGGCUUGUUCUGGACACUCACUGCUCCCAAGCUAAGAGGAGAGAAAAUUAGUCCUUAAUUCGCUCUUCAAAUCUGAAGAAGCAACAAGUCACAGUUAUGUUGAGGAUGAGAUCUAGUCUCGUCUCUCCAAGUUCAAAAUCCUGUCACCAAGGCCCUGAUCUGGUGUCACCGUCUUAGAUGCUCACUCCUCUCUCUUCUCUUCAAGUCUCAGUGUAUGUGUUAAUAUGUAUGUUAAAACUCAGCCAGUGCUCAGCUUAGUGAUAAAAGGGCUCUUGUGUGCCCUUAUCCUUGUCUUUAGGAUACAAUCUUUCUUGUAACAGAAAAUGUUCCCUUCUUUCAUUUAUUUCAGAACUGGACUUUCUUAAAGUGUAGUAGAUGGUGUGUUAUAACUCCCUUGCUCAUCUGAAACAUCAUAAGAGUCCAUGGUGGCACUUCUUUAGGAAAAGAUAAGAUGGUUUGUCACUUGUUACUCUUCCCUGGUGAAAUAUCUUCUUAGGCUGCCACAUAGACACUAUCGCAUAGUGAGAAAGCUUGGAAAUACCCUGAUCAGUGAGUAGGGAACAGGACCAUGGCAUCUGGGUGAAGUCUGGACAAGAAUUCAGACAGCUCUGAAGCUGGAAAACAUUCCUGUGGGUAUAGGAAGGCAUCAUCGUUCCAGACCUGUCUGUCUAGGGCUAGGCUCACACGUAUGAGAAGAAGAGUUGUUAACAGAUAAGUUGAUUUGGCCAUGGCAGAUUGAAGCCUAACAAUGAAAAAGGUCUUAAAAGCUCCUACAUUGGGUCUUUUUUAAAUAAAAAUUAUUUGCUUUUUGUAGCAGAACCAGUAUUUUCUUCUUAUCAUAAAAGACCAUCUUCCAGAAACACAGGGAAAAAAACAUGGGGAAUCCAAUGCCCCUUCACUCCCGAGCCAUGUGUGCAGCGGGGUUUCACUAGGGGUUUCAGUAAAAGCAGGAAAUGCUGUGGGGACUGACAAUUCCAGAAUCUUCUUUGGAACUGGAACCCAGGUGGUGGUAAAGCCCAGUAAGUGGCCCUGUUCUAUUUAUACUUGACCAAACAAAUAAAUCCUGUGAAGUUAGUAGAGAUUUAAUUUAAUAUGUAGACAAAUGUACCCUUUGAAAAAUGACUUUCGCAAAUGCAUGAAACAUUCAUGGUUGUUGAGAAUAGAGCAAUAAUGAUAAAUGGAUACAGAAUGAGACCAGCCCAAAUUGCCUUUAAUAUGGUAGCUCAGCUCCUCUUUUUAAAGAGAUACUGGAGUCAUGAGUUAUUUACAGCCACAGUAUCUCUGAAACUAUGCUCUGCAAUGAUUUGUGUGUUUACUGUAACGUUGCCCACAGAACUUGUCUUCCAUUCUACUGAAAAUGAGAAUCUAUCUCAUUUUAAAUGCUCCUCAUGUGGAUAAGGUAACUUCUUUGUUGCUCAUGCCUGCAUAUGUAUUUAUUUCUAAAAGAUCCAAUAUAAAACCCAAACAUUACCCCAGUUUGACAAAGGUCCACAUCUAGUCCUAUACAUGUCAAAUUUCACUAAAAGCAUAGCUUUACUGUUCAAAUGCAAUGGGAGAAAGAAACAACUGAGAUAAAUUGACGAUCCCAGAUGGCUUAUUAACACCUGAAAGGGAAUUCAGAGUGAAAUAAAAUGGCAGGCAUGAUGACAGCAUUUUUAUUUAAUGAUCAGUUCCUCCAUGGGGAGUAAAAACUUUUUAAACAUGCCUCACUGGGGAGGAGGGAAAUAAUGAAUUCAGGAGCCUGGCAUUCCUGGGGUGUACCUGGGAUGUCAGUUUCUCCACAAUACUUUUUGGAAACAAAGCGACUCAUCCAAAUGUCAAGUCAAAAAAGUAAUAGUAAGAGGCAGGUGUUGUCAAGUUGACUGACUGAGUUAUGAAACUCUACAUUAGUUUAUAAUUGAAACUAUGGACUGACCAACUGACCACAGAGCUUUGAAAUAGAAUGGCCUGAUCUUUGAAUGGUUUAACUGUGGGGAAUGACCAAAGACAAAGAAACGAGCUAGAGGACUCCAUAAGUUUGGUUUGCGCUGUGUGCUCUGCUACACUAAGUCACUUCAAUCAUGUCUGACUCUGCCACCCUGUGGACUGUAGCCUGCCAGGGUCCUCUGUCCAUGGGAUUUCCCAGGCAAGACUACCGGAGUGGGUUGCCGUGCCCAUUUCCAGGGGAUCUUCCUGACCCAGGGAUCAAACUCACAUCUCUCAUGUCUCUUGUACUGGCAAGUGGGUUCUUUACCACCAGCACCACCUGGGAAGCCCAGGUUUGCUUUAGAGCUAGCAAAUAUGACCAAUCCAUGCGAAUCCUUUUUAAUAACUGUGAUAAAGACACUUUGGGGGUCAGGUAGUCAAUGAGGAGGAAACAGUGGGGUUUGUUUUUUUAUGGGUCAAACAAGGAUUCAAUCAGGACUGGGGGUAAUGCCAUCCAGUGUCCAUCUCUUAGUGGUAAGGAAACCAUGGACUGUGAAAGAACAGCAUUCCCUGAAAGGCUAGAGUCCUUCUGGGCCAAGGGAUGACCCGCACUACCACUCAUAGGGCAGGUCUAUAAUCAGUGUAGCAAACAUAUGCUUGACCUCAGGUAAGGUGUCUUCAGGGUGAGGUGGUACGGCCUCUCCAGAACAGAGCCCAGGAUGAGGCGAGGGCUCUGUGAAACAGUUCUGUCUCAGGUGAAAUUCAGAUGUGUGUCUUGCGUAGCCCCUUCCUGCCCCCAUCUUUCUUCAGACUCUGAGGAGUGGGCGUCUAGCUGGAUAGCUGUCUGCUCAGUCAUUUUUCACCUGCUGCCACAGAAUUGUGUUAGAUAUCACAAAGGAAUUCAUUGAAUUGUUGCUUUUAUCAUUCACUCUCAGUGUCAAAUGAGGUCGUCCAAUUUCCUCUCUGCAUAUUUGCAGCAAGCAGCAUAAAAUUGAAGCAAAACAACCAGGAGACACAGAGAAAGAUACCUGAAGCGAUAACGAGGCCUGUUUAUUAUAGUAGAAAGGAAAGUGUCCUGUGAAGGUGAGAUAGCCAUCAAGCUUUCCUAAAGAGUCACUGGGAGUUUUUGUUGUGGCCCCAAUCACAGUGUGAACAAACCUCUGGCAAAAUUGUCUUUGGAAGAGGGACUCAGCUUCAUGUUCUCCCCAGUAAGUGCUGUUCAUGUGAUUUUCUGAUAUUGACUCCCAUUGACUGAAAGUGGUUUGGUGUUGGGUGGGAAAAGCUUUGGCUCUAAGAUAUGUGGGUAGCCUCUAGUUCCUGAGUCCUUCUGCUCUACAGAGAGGCCCAGUCCUUGACCCUUCCACAGCCUAGUCAGAUAUCAAAUUCUUUCCCUUCUAGAGCUUGAAAAGUUGCUGCCAGUGCUUUUGGUGCUUAAAUAUUAAUUAUCCUUUCCAUGGUUUAUACAUGCAAAGAUUCAAAAAUUGUGAAACUUUGUCAAGGGUCAUUUUCAAGUUUCCCCUCCCCCACCCAGGCUGCUUCCCACCCCCUCAUGGACUUUGGACACAUCAUUAAAUCCAGGAUGAUUUCUGACUUCAACAAAGUGGCUUUGGAAAUGACCCCAGCCUAUCUAUGACUCCUCCUCUUCCAUUCUUCAUAAAAGACCCACUUUCUCUGUUCAGCCUCUGCUAAAAUUCCUGGCUCUGGUGCCCCACGCCUUCGCAUUUCCUUUGUUCCAGGGAUGAGUAGGAGAUAACUUUUGUAAGAGCUACUUUAAUGCCAGAGGCAACAAAGAUGGUGUGUCAGCCAAGAACAACAUCUUGUGUUGAGCCUUCUCACCCUGUGCCAUUUUCCAAAUCCUUUUCUUCAUUUAGGUAAAGCAGCCACUCCUAUUUAUUCCUAGCACAGCAAAGAGUUCAUUAUGAGGCCAGAGACAAGGGUUUCCUUUGGAAUAUAUUUCACAGGCUAACAAUAAGCUGGAAGUUUGCAGAUAGUUCACAAAUGCAUUCUCAGGCCACAACUCCAUGUAUGGAAGCCAGUAUGGGCUUCCAGGGAGAAGGAAGCAAAGAUGUGCUAAGGGAAAACAAAAGCUAUGGUUUAGUGGGGGAGAUUUCUGGAUGAUUCCACCCAGGGAAAAAAAUUAACAUGAAGAAACACUCAGAAAAUCCCCAAGGCCAGGCAUUCAGAGUUUUUGUGAUGAAGGCAAUCACUGUGGGGAUUCAGGAAACAGGCAACUUGUCUUUGGAAAAGGCACAAGACUUGCUGUGACUCCAAGUAAGUGUCCCUGGCCAUCCCUGAUUUUGAUCAGCAAUAGCAUCUAUGCUUACAUGAUUAUUUUCGGUGAACCUAUGAAUGCUUUUUUUCCCCAGGAAAAGUCUAGUAGGAGCUGGGAAGUUAGUACUUGACAGGAAGAUGAACAGGUUACUCUGACAUAAUUCAAAAGCCAACCAGACAAUCAGGGGCAAGCCUCAUACCUCACCGCGGCCUCAGCCUGUCCAACUGGCUCUGGCCACAUAUCCUGCCCAGUUCUCUCCCCUGAUAUCAGGAGCCCAAAACUCUAGGAGCUUUUCUGAGAUCUAAGAGCCACUUUUAAAUAUAUUGUGGGUUUCUGUCUAAUGUUGUUAUUCAUUUUAAUUUGCCUAAAUAAUAUAUGAAAUUUUCUCAUUAUAAAAGCAAUCCAAAUCACAGAUAAAGCCAAUAUUCACCCUGACCUCCUAUUCCUUCAGUAUCAGUUUCCUCCCCAAAGGUGACCCUUGGGACUGAUUAGGUGAGUUGUGAUGAGUUUCUCCUUGGAGAAUGACAUGAAAUCUCCUGUCUUCAGUGAAGGCAACUCAAGACAUAAAGAACUCAGACUGCAGUUUGCAGAUUUCAAUUAGAUAUAAGGAACGAUUAUAUCCUUGAAUGCAAAGGCUAUUGGCAAAAGAGAGUUACCUUCCUAGGAGCUCUUGAAGAAUACAUUGGUCUUUGGUCCUUGGCUGAAGACAGGAAGAUGGACCAGGUGACCUCUGAAAUCCAGCCAGGUCUCUGUAGGACUCAGGGAUGGUCCACCUGGCGGCAAGGGUCUAUAACAGCCCUUCUCUUCGGCCUGUCCUCUGGUUGGUGUUUCAGCCUGAGCUUUUGUCAGCAGUGCUCCUAUACUGUGCAUGGUUUGGUUUUUCUCAGCAUCUGUGGGGUUUUUGCAAAGAAAGGAAACUCUGUGCCUACUCUGGGACUGGGAGUUACCAACUCACCUUCGGGAAGGGCACCAAACUCUUGGUCACACCAAGUAAGUUCUUCUUUCUGGCUAAUUAUUCUUCCCAAGAUGCCUGCCUUCCAUCAUGCAGAAGCUGUCAAAACACAGGUGGUGUUUUCUUUGCUUGGUUUGUGUUGGGUGGUUCAUGAUACCAGUUGGAAAGCAAGGUUAUUAAUGCACAUAUCCUCUGGGGCAUUGUACUUGGCUUUUAAGAUCCAUGUAGUUUCUCCCAGAGAAAAUAUGUGAACCUCCACAAAGAGGAAGGCCCAGGGAAAGCCGAGGGGGACGGGGGAGGCAGGAAUUGGAUGAAAACAGAUAAAGGGCUUGCAGAAACAACAAACAAGAGGCGAUCCCAGGAGGCCACGCAGUAGCCACCUUGAGCAAACUUCCCAGGAGUUGCUCCUGCCAAGGCCCUUUCUCUCAAGGAAAAUUACAGCAAAUAGAAUUGGACUGGGAAGUUGCUAGUUAUUAGUAUUCAUCCCACAUUCUAACCUAAUUACAAGGAGAUUGUUUUGGCCAUGGGCAGUCAUUUCAGGUUUUGUUUUCCUGCUUGCCUCCUCCACCUCCACCUGUCUUCCUAGAGGCCCAAGUCAAGGUUAUUGCAAUAGCACUGAACACUGUGUAACACCGGUACAGGCAAAUUAACCUUUGGGGACGGGACUGCGCUCACUGUGAAGCCGAGUAAGUUGUGUUCUUCUUUGGCUGUGCCUUCAGGGGCAAUCAAUCAAAUCGUUAGUUUGAAAAAUACUUUAAUCCUGUGCAUCUGCUUGGGCUCUUUAUUAAUGUUCUUUCCCCAGGCCAAAGAGAGUUGGUUUCUUUCUCUGCUUUAAAAUGAGAUGUGCAUGUACACAUGUGCUCAUGCACACACACACACACACACACGCUCUGGCUCAUGGUGAGGGGCUUUCAGGAGCAUAGACUGCAUUUUCAAAGAAAUCGAGAUAUAAACAAUAACUGAGCCAAUGAGAAAGUCAGGAAGAACAUCCAGAGAAAAUGCCCCACCCCGGUCUGGCUUCUCUGCACGUUCUCAGCCAAAUAGGGGGCUUUGGCUCUGUCUGAUGGUCUAGGGCAAGGAAUUCCUCAGCUUCUCUCUGUAAUGAAUUCUAAAAUGUAGCAGCCUUUGCUGCCAGAAAUAAAGUACAACUGACUUUGAUUACCCAUGGGUGCACUGCGAUUUAACUCUCUGAAAAGAACCUCUAGAACUUUAGACAUCUAGUUUGAGAAUAAAAUGCCUACAGUUAAAUAUGAAAUUCAGCACUGAAUCUCUUUCUGCAGCAUCUCUGAGAUGCCAUGUGUCCCUCAGGACACGAAUCAAAUGAUUAGGAAUUAGGCGUUAUAGUCUGAGCUUUGGAGACAGAAAAACCUAAAUUCAAGUUCUGGCUCCAUUACUUUACCAGCUGUGUGAUCCUGGACAAAUUAAUGAACCUCUCUGAGCCUCAGUUUCCUCAUCCAUAAGAUGAGGAUAAAAAUAUCUCUACCUUAUUAUGCUAUUGAAAGGAUCAAAUAAAAUAACAGCUAAAAUAUUUAGCAUAGUGCCAAAAUAUGGAAAGAGCUCAUUAAACCCUAGCUAUUAAUAAUAAUGAUAAACACCAUCUCCAACACACAGUAACACUUUUGUUUCACCCCUCAGGCUCUUCUGUCAAGGCUCUGUCAUGCAUCAGGAGAAGAGCUGGCAGGAGGGGAGGGUGGAGAAUGUCAGCCUGCUCUAUGAAAUUCUUCACCUGGGAUUGGAAAGUGUCUAAAGGGAAAUAGAAAGAACCCUGGCUAAUUUAAAUACAAAAUCAUCCAAAUGUCAGAGGCAGGGGAGAGAUUUCUGCAGAGAGCUGCAUGGCCCGAGCUCCCGAGGCUACACAAUAGCCCCUUAGAGCAGGGAUGCGGCUCACAGUGUCCUAAGGUGAUGGCUGUAGCAGCUGAACCUAGCACCAUCCUCUCAGCAAGCUGACCCCAGCACAGCUCCCUCCCAGACAUGAGCUCCCCAUGCGGAGGGCCAGGGACAGAGGAUGGCAGCUUCACAGGGAAGAGCUACUUGCCCCCAGAUUGCAUCUCUGCUCCUCUAGGUAGUAAUGCUCAUGAGAGAUAUGAUGCCUGAAGAUAGCCUCUAAAUGAAACUCUCAGACCCAGGGAUGGAGAAUCGGGAGUCUAUAGAGGCAAACUGGGCCAGUUAGUAUUGAAGAAAAGGGAUGAAGGGUAAAGUGGGAACCUAGUCAUAGCUAAACCUGGGAGAGGACGCAUUAAACAAAAGCUGGAGGUGCUGUGUUGCCCAGCUCCCUGCCUGACCCCGCCCUGGGACUCAAACUCAGGACAUGGCUAAUACUGCAAGAGGAAGGGAGUUAGGUUAGUGGUAAAACCGUCCUAAUAGGUUUGUGAACAGUGAAAAUGAGCUGUCAGGAGUAGUUGCCAGGGCACUUUCUCUGGAGGGUUUUUGAAAAGAGAUAGACACCCUCCUCUCAGGGCUGACUGAAGCGCAGCCCUGCCUGGAGGCACGAGGAGAAAGAGACACUCUCUAAGCCUCUUCCCAGCCCUGGAGCUGCUCUGUGAAAAAAAUUCUGGCUCAUUAACACAGAGCUGCCUCCCUCAGGGCACCAGGGUUGCUGGGUUAAGUUUGGGAACCCUUGCUUGUUGUGUCCCAAACUCCCUUUGUACUCAGACUCAACAGGAUAAGCAUCCUAAAGCUACAAACACAGAGUCUGGGUCACGGGUCAUUGGAGGUGUUGAGAUAUGUGAGUUGGGGGUGGGGAGUGGGCUCUGGGUGGCUCUGAGGGCUUUUUGUAAAGCCCAGGGGCACUGUGGGAAUAACUAUGGCCAGGGUUUGAUCUUCAGUGGAGGAACCAGACUGUCUGUGCAGCCCCGUAAGUAUGGAGAGGUGGGAGCAGAAACCAGCCUGUGCUUGAGGCCUGGGUCCAUUGUGACGUUGGAGCCAGGAUGGAAAAGAGAGUAAGGAAUGAGAGGGAUGUUUAUUCAGGGAGGAAGAUCGCAGGACUGUGUGAAUAAUACUGGGGAAAUUACACGGGAGGUUUCCCUUCUCAGGAGGGCUUUGUCAGGGGAGAGCUGAGUUGGCAGGUUUUUGAUGCUGAGAUAAUCACUGUGGGGAAGGACAAGGCUUCUCCCUCGUCUUUGGGAAGGGGACAAGGCUGCUUGUCAAGCCGAGUAAGUGGCAUCCAAUUUGACUUGUACUCUGAAUAUGAUAAUCUCCAAGAGAAGACCUGCUCUCUUUCCCACAGGGUCUCCUUGGGCCAGAAAGACAUUCUAGAGGCUGAGCAGACCAAGGCCCGGAGCCUGGUCAUCUUCCUUGUCUUUAAAGGAGCUCUGGGAGGUGCAGGGGGGAGGAACUCACCAGGACCCCACCGACAGCCCAGACUUGGGGUCCGUCCACGCUGUCAACCUUCCAAUAAGUAAAAGCGUCUGAUGGCAAGUCUUCCUCAGGAGGAGAUGCCAGUAGAGUUAUGCCCAUUUCAUACACUUAAAAACUGAGGCCUCUCAGAGACUGACAUAUUCUAACAGGAACGGAACUCAGGGAGAACAGUUUUUCUGGUAGACGGUUGGAUUUGAAACAGAAGGUUAUUUAAAUGAGAGGGUAGCUGUGGUAACCAGCUUUCACCUGAGCUCCAGGUGCUGAGCACUGGGUAGGGUUUUAGGUAAACUCCUACCUAGACCAUGGGGUUUUAUCACUGCAGAGCCCAGUCUUCCCUAAGCCUGGUCUUCAUUAACCCAAGCAGCGCUACUCCCUGGCCCUGCAGCCUUGGAAGUGCAGCUCCUGGCAACAUCAUUCUUGGUGUCUUAUAAUAAGAGAAAUUAGAAGAGAAGCAAGGGAAAAGCUUAUAUCUCGGAUCAUGCAGUUCCCUCAUUUUGUAGCAAGAUUGUUUCCCCACGAGCCAUUUGUCUUCAUUUAGCGGCUGUCUUCUCUGGGGAAGCCAUUUUGUAGAGGUGUUUGUCACAGUGUGACAACUGACGGCUGGGGGAAAUUGAAUUUUGGAGCGGGGACCCGGGUUGUGGUCACCCCAGGUAAGCCUGAUUCCCUGGAGCCUCAGCUGUCCUUAAUCCUAACCCGUGUGCCAAGUAUUUCUAGCUGAGAUCAUGAGAGACAUAUUUGAAAGGAAGCCAUUUUGCUGAACAGCAGUACCCAGAGCCAUUAAGCAAAAGUGAGAGACCAGUUUGGUGUUAAACAGUAACAUUUUUGGAAAAACAGGAAUCCUCAUUAUUCCCUAUCAGUCCCCUGUGUAGGUACCUGAUUUCCCUUAUAAGGAAAGAACUUACAGGAGAAUGUAGAGCCGUGAUUCACACCAUGGUGUGGGAGAGAUGGGCUGUGGAUUCUGGAGGGUUAGGAUUAGAAAUGUGUUCAGGAAGAUUGGAUGUGUUUUUGACAGGCUGUAUAACACUGUGUGAAUUAUAACCAGGGAGGAAAGCUUAUCUUCGGACAGGGAACCGAGUUAUCUGUGAAGCCCAGUAAGUAUAAAUGUGUAUCCCUGGAUUAAGCAAUGUCUAUGGAUUAAAGGCUGAUUUAGACCCAAUUAUACACUAUCGGAAGAAUGUUUAGAAAGUGUGAAUGAGCGUCAGAUAGAAGGACAAAAGUCCCCUGGCUAGGAUCUGACAUCUGUGUGCAAAAUGGGCCAUGUAGGGGAGUGUCUGGGAAUUGUUCCCAGAAUAUAUUUGGUGAGACAGUGAUAUGUGACUGAUUACUUGAGGUGCUGACUAGGAUCUGUGGCCCUAGAUUUGUACCAUCAUCAGUGACAAGACUUCUUCCUUUCCAAGCCUCUAAGGCACUAUUCUUUUUGGCUAAGAUUAUGUCAAUUUAUAGAAGGAACCUUGUAAAUACUGAUCAUUGACCAAAAUAACUGUGAUUCGCCUCUCCCAAGGUCUAAAAAUCACUUUUAAAACAAAGUUUAUUCAUGAGUACUGUUGGGACAAUUUCUGUUUCUGAGAAUUUAGGCCAAAAAUGUGUAUAGCAUAGCCUUGUGGAGCGGAGAGAACCCUUAAAAAUCAUCUUUUCUGACUGUCCACAUAUAAGGAAACUGAGGCCCAGGGAAGAGACAGAUCAUGGCCCCACAACCACUCUAUGGUUGAGCUCAGGCUAGAACUUAAGUCCCUAUCAUUAAUUCUCCUGGAUAGGGCAAUCUCCUGGUGGUGUAACCCAGAGAUACUCAGAGCAGUGGAGAAAUAUUCUCUGUCCUGGCUUUGUGAGUCUUCUUGGAUGAAAAGAUGUAAAUACUGGUUUGACCUAUGAAAUCAGAGAGCGCUUAUCCUCUCUAUAUAUUAAAAGCGUAUGUUUGAUGCCUAGAACUCUGUAGUAGAAAGUGAGAAGCAAAGGUUCCCUAAAAGAAGGUGAGAUUUUUAAAGACAAAAAAGGCUUUCUUUAUGAUUUGUAGAUAGGCAGUUUGGUUACUCCAGAUCAAACCUAGUUUGACAGUCCUAAUUUUCAAAGUAAUCGCCAGCCCUUCACUCUGUGCUCCGGCCAACCUGGCCCGUUGGCUCCUGGUUUUUGUUGUUGGGCUUAUCACAGUGCUUCCUCUAGUUCAGGCUGGCAACUGACCUUUGGAUCUGGGACCCAACUGACUGUUGUACCUGGUAGGCCAUCACAUUUAAGUAAUAUUUUCAUGAAUGUAUUAAUCUAUAAAUGUAUAGUGUAUAUUUAUGUAACAUAAUAGGCCUGCAGGUGGGGUGGGGAGAGAAACUAACAACACAUACUUUAAAAGGUAAAUAAGAAGAGACUUAUUUAUCAAAGACCAAAGAGAAAGAAGCCUUUCUGCCAAGUUUGGAAUAAGAGUUGGUGAAAAUGAGUAGAAAAGAAGCUGCCCUAACCUAGAAGAGCAACAGAUUUCAUAAUGGGAACCUCUGUUUCUCAUAAUAUUUUCACUAGAACAGGUGAAAUGCUACAAGAUGGUUUUAACAGAAAUUAUCUUAAACCAAGUCUAGUUGGCCAGCUAUGUUGCUAGCCCAUCCUGGCUUAUUUCUACAUAAGUCCUUAAACACAAAAGUGUCUAUUUAAGAUAUUUAAAUGAAGCUCUAUUUCUAUAGCUUUCUCAUGCCCUUCCAGCGAAGCAUUCUUGUAACACACUGCUUAUCAUUUCUACAAGUAAGAACAAGUAAGCCCUUUGCCCUCCCAAACUGUAUAAGUAUUAUAAUUACUUGCCUUAGACUGAAGUCACCUCUAUUUUAUUUCUCAUAACUGUGUUCAUUUGUUGAGAUUUGUUUAAAUCCAAACAGUGUGGGCGUCUAACUGUUGGCACUGAGGUUUCCUUUCUCUUGAAAGUGUCAGCAAAAUAUUUUGCCCAUAAAUAAUGUUUCAUCUAGACUUGCAAAUGACAGCCAAGUCUGCGGCCUCUUUUUUUCCUCCCCCUUCCUAAAGGGAAUAUGCAGGCAGAGAGCAGGAAAAAAAAAAAAGCCAAAACCUACAGUUUCAUUGUGGGGGCUGGGCGGGGGCUGUUAAAGUACAUUUGGUUAUAUAAUGGAGGUACUUUGACCGAUAGGACGCAGUGAUCUUGUUUGAUCAUAUACACAGACACUGCUAGCUUGCGGGUGUGGUUCAGGGUGUCCUUGAAAAGAAGCUCAGGUCAGGUUGCCAAGCAUGACACAGACCCAGGUCCAACUCAGGGAGAGAAGCUCCUGGAUAGCCCUGGAACUAAAGGCAGAAUCAGGAUUCUCCUUACAAUCUAGUCUAUCUGAGGAGAACUUCCAUUUAUAAUUAGGAAGAGAGAAGGGUAAAGAGCAUUUAUUUGCAGAGUCCUUAUUUCAAAUAUUGUGUGUAUGGAGCACAGAAGACGCAAGAAUGAGCCCAAGCAGGAAACGAAAGAAAAGAAAUCAAUAAAACCACUGAAGAAAAUCAGAUGCCCUUAACUUGCCUGUCUUUGAUAAUGAAUGUGCCUUCUUCAUUCAUUCCUCACUUGGGUUUGUGAAUUUUCUAGGAAAGUAGCAAAAGAAAAAGAAAACUGGUGGCAUUGGGUUAGUCUUGGCCUAGCUUGGUUAGUUAUCUCUGGAUAGCACACCUUCCUUUUAGAACGUCCAGGAGACUUUUUGUAAUGGUAGUAAACAUGGUGUAUAACACCAACAGAUUUUACUUCGGAUCUGGGACAAAACUCAGAGUAAAGCCAAGUAAGUGACAGUUGUCUAUAAGAAAAAGUCACCAGCAUAUUAUCCUAAAUUCCUCUUACCAGUCUGUAUUGAUUUUGAGUUCUUUUAUUUUGUUUUUUGGCCCUUGUUCAUACAUCCCUUAAACAGAUAUAAAAUGUAGUAAACAAAUCCUAUGAUUCAGCAAACAUUUUGAAACUGCCAACCAUACUCUUGGGAUGAUAUCCCAUAUAAGGAAAAUUCUCAGAUUUUAACUGUAGUUGCUUUUAUUAUUAGUUGGCUCAAAAAAAAAAAAAAACUAUUUGGACAUAAUUUAAAAAGACUAUGAAUAUCCAGGACCUCAGAAAGGAGAUAUUACAAAUUAAAAUUUUAUUAAAUUAAAAUUAUAUAAUUAUAUUAAUAAUAAAUAAUCUAAUAGCUAUAUUUACUGAGCACUUGCUAUGGUGCAAAUGCCUCUCAUGCUUUAACUCACUUAAUCUUCCUCACAAUCCUGUGAAAUAGUUGUUGCCAUCCCCAUUUCACAGAUGAGGAAACUGUGAAAGUGAAAAAUAAAACAAGAGGUUAAAAUAGUUACCAGAGGGCUCUACACAGGGGAGGCCUCAGGGCAGCCUGCCCGUCCCCGCAGCCCACUCUCUUAUCCAAGGCAGGGUUUGCGUAGGAAGACGUAGCACUGUGACUCUAAAUAACUACAAGCUCACCUUUGGAUCAGGAACCACAGUAACUGUGAGAGCAAGUAAGUAAAAAGGAAGAAACAAGAAUAACUUUAAAACAAAAUGGUGGGCACAAUUACAAGCAAUCCCACCUGGGGAGCACAGUGGUCAGUAAUGAAAUUCGAAAAAGCUUUCCGGGUUUGCAUUAGGACAAAACCUGCCUGCCUCAGGGUCGCCCUCACAUCCUCCUCCAUCCCAAAUGGCUCUCCUCCUCAGGAGCACCUUCACAAGGAUAAAUGUGUCAAGAGCAUUGGCUUUAACGUCAGAUGAAAACCAAGCUAGCUAUCUGGAAUUCUCUCAGAUUCCUAAAAACAGUAAGAGAGGAUGUCAGUGGGCUAUACUAAGAUGAGAUAUAACACUUUUCAAAUAUUUGAAGGACUGCCAUUUAGACAAGGGAAGGGGUGAGGACAGGAGGCAAAAUCAAAACCAGUGGAUGAAAGGAGAUGUGUCUCGGCCUUCUGUGGGACCUUUCUGAACAAGGCCUGCGGUGGAAAGGCUGCUUUGUGAAGUGUGCGACCCUUCUUCCUUGGAGACCUUCACACUGGGUCCUGUAGCUGACUAUCUGAUGUUGUAGAAGGGGUUUCUGUGCCAUUUUAGAUAUUGGACUGAAUCAUCUCUGGGCUCCCUUUCAACUCUAAGUGCUAAGAUCUCAUGACUCCAGCCUAGAGGAUGAAAAGGUGAGCUCAGACGUGUUUCUUCUAUUUUUAUUAUCUUGAUAGUCAAAGAAAUAUGUCAUUGAAUUAUUCAUGAGCUAAAGCCUAUUUGGGCUUUUUAUACCUAAGAGAUGGUGGGAUAUGAUUCCCCAGUGCCAUAAAUGGGAAAAUAAAGAGUGGUAUUAGGAAGGAAAAAAGAGGAAAAGAAAAUGCCUGGAGGGACAACCAGAGGUCGAAGGAGGGGAAUGGGGUGAUUCUGCAAAGGACUGCAAAGGACAGUCUAUCAGAGUUUUCGCAAGUUCACCUUUGGAAAAGGAUCCAAACACAAUGACAAUCCAACUAAGUGAACUGUCUUUUAUACGGGGAAAUAGGGCCCGGGAAGCCAAGUUCCUUCCAAUUUAAACACUCUCAAAAGGACGUGUAAUUGCUUUCUGAUGGGAGGGUGCCUCUGCAGGUGGGAAUGCUAUUGUUAGCACAGACCAUUUGUCCCCUGAGAGAUAGCCUCUGAGAUCUGACUGUCCCACUCAGACUGUCAACUGCACAAGGAAAGACUUAAAGCCACUUAAAGAGGAUGAAGGUGGAUUUUCAACCCUGGCCCCCAGGGCAGGAGAGAGAGGGGUGGGGAACAUUAGGAGCAGGUUCAUGUAAAGGGGGCCGGCACUGUGUCAAUAGAGGCUCAAGUCUGGGGAGGUUCUACUUUGGAAGAGGAACCCGGCUAACUGUACAGCCUGGUGAGUGGGUUGUUAUCUAGUCCAGGGAAACAUUUCUAUGAAGAAACUGAAAAGCGAGAUGAAUGAAUGCCCUUAGUUCUAAAACUAAGGGAAUAUGUGUAUUGCUGUUCCUGGAGGACACUCCUUCCUAGGUAGACUGGGAUGGGGAAGUAGAAGAAAGAUCAGGAUCACCUAGGAUCCCUUUCAGGAGCCCGAGACUCUGAGAGGAGGCUGUGUUUGUCCCCACUAAAGGCAAAGGAGAAGGGCGUUCCCACUGGAGUGUGUGAGGCACCCCAAAACCCCCACUCCAGUCUACACCCAACACUUGGUUGGAUGUGCCAGACUGAGGUACAGGGUUGCCAGGGUUAUUUUUCUGGAGUCCAGAGGCCCUAUCAACUUCUUUCUUAUCAUGAAUGACCUCUCCAUAGUAUUCUGUCAACUUUCCCCAGGAAGCCGCCUCCCUCUUCCUUAGUAGAAGCCUCCCCAUUGAAUGGGCUCUAGAAUAACUGGAGGGAGUUAGGAUCUGCAACUUGGACCAAGGAAAGAAAAGCUGAUCACAGUGUACAGCAGCUCAGAGGGCCUGAGUAGACCCAAAACAAUAUCCUUCUUCUCUUCGGGGUCUUCCCAGGGCACUAAAUUGAAUAUAAAGAGACUCAGUGUACAUGCCUAUGUAUGGGUGGGUUCAUUAAGCUGUAUGUAUGAACAGCCUGAUCCCAGAAGUCUUACAGAGCUUAUAGGACUUCCUGUUCUCAGGUUCCUUUGUGGGUUACAAAUGGUCAAAUGGGCCCCUGAGUGAGGCUUUGUUGACAGCUAUUAUUCUCACUCACAGAUCCAGGUCCAAACAGCCAAAGCAGAGAAGUAAGUUAAUAUAUGAAAGAAUGAGACCCAAGUAUGUGCCACAGACAAGCAUUCCAGCUCUACAAAAUGGGCACAGUGCUGGGAGCCAGGAUUACCCUAACCAUCACAAGCCCUCCACUUUGCCCCAGCCACAGGACAGGGGUCAGGCAUCUAAAGAGUGUGAUUUCUUUGGUCCCUGUGGUUUUUGCUGGGCCUUAAAUCACUGUGUGACCACCACUGCAGGGACCAAGCUAACCUUUGGAGAAGGAACCAGGCUGAUAGUCAAGCUGAGUGAGUACCGGUACCUGAGCCAAAAUUCUGUUUCCAACAUUGAAGCAGGAACCUAGUCAUCAAUUUUAGAUUGAGUGUGUUAUGCGGGCCCACAUAAAUCUGUCUCAAACUUGCCUUAAAAUUGUGUAGUGUUGCUCUUAUGCAUAAGCAUAUAGGGAUGCACAAAUUCAGUGUGGAGAAAAAUAGCACUAUAUUGAUAUUUUCUAGGAUCUGUCUUCUUAAGAAAAGGAAAAUAGUUAAGGCCCUUUCCUUAUUUCUUCACAUCUUUGUCCCACAACGUAGAAGAAAAAGGAAAGCAAUGAUUCUCUCAAUUCAGAGUGGUUAAAGGAUUCGAACGUGCUCACAAUAGCAGGGCCAGCACCUACAUGUUCUAAGGUGCAAUAUAUUGCUGUCUGUACCAGGCUGCACCCCCUAUAACCAUCACUCUGAUUUAUCUCCUCUGGCCCUCAUUUUUCCCAAUUAAUGCAACUGAAAUAUUUGUAACUCUUAUCUCCUGGCUCACAGAAAGCAUGUGAGGAUUAAAAGGACAUUACUCUGAAAAAGUUGAGCUGGAGGUUUAUUUAGAGAGGUCCUGUUUUGUUUUGUUUUUUUCUAAGGGAGGAAAUGGAUAUUGUUUUUGUUGUUGAUGAUAUUGCCUUUUUCAUUAGGGAAGAGAAAAAGGAAGGAAGAGAUCCUUGAAAGCCAUGGUGAUAUGAUCAAUACAUGAACAUGUACAAAAAAUCAUUAAGGCAUUCAGUGAAGUGAGUGAAGUCGCUCAGUCAUGUCUGACUCUUUGUGACCCCAUGGACAGUAGCCUACCAGGCUCCGGGUCCAUGGGAUUUUCCAGGCAAGAAUACUGGAGUGGGUUGCCAUUUCCUUCUCCAGGGGAUCUUCCCAACCCAGGGAUUGAACCCGGGUCUCCUGCAUUGCAGGCAGAUUCUUUACCAACUGAGCCACUAGGUAUUCAACUCGGGGCCAAAAGACAGUGGAUCUGGCUCAGUCACUCACCAGCCACGUGCCCAUGGGAAGCCUUGUAAGCCUCAGUUCAUCUACAACAUGGAGAUUAUGAUUCUAGCUCUGCCUAGCUCAAAGGAUUUUGUAAGAAUCAAGAGAGAUAAUGUAUGUGAAAUCUCUUUGAAAAGUAUGGGCAGUCAGAUGAUUCAUGAAUUUUUUGAGAGUCAGAUUUUAUGAAAAAUUCCAUUUGAGGAUAAACUUGGAAAUCAAAAAGCUUCAUGGAUCUUGGCUAUGGCAGAGAAAGGGUUGAACGCGAAUAUAAGGUGAACCUUUCCAGCCCUGAGAAACCAGAACAUGAGAAUUGGGAACUGAGACUGUCCCUGGAGACCAUCAAGACCUGAGAUCACUUGGGAGAGAAAUGAGUGAGGUUGUGAGCGUGUAGGAAAUGGUUUCGGAGGUUUCCUACCAUGCCGAAGAAUGUAUGACUUUAAGACUUUUCUUGAGUUUACCUAAAUAUGUGUUUAGUGUUGGACUGCGUAUCAACCAAGUGAGGGAUCCUGGGAGAAUUCCUGUGCUUGUAAAUGAAGCUCACUUUGGUUUUUGUGGUGAAGUAGAUCACUGUGGGGUUUUCAAGUGGCCAGAAGUUGGUUUUUGGAAGUGGGACCAUGUUAAAGGUGAAUCUUAGUAAGUAUUGAAUUUUGAAAUCUAUUAGUUACUGAGACAUGUAACAGACUUUUUUGUAAAUCUAAGGGGACUGCCAAAUGUUUCCAGUUUAUUCAGAUUUAGUGGAGAACAGAGUUCUUCCCACGUCCUCUCCAUCCUAAGUGUAAAAGCUCAUUUUGUUAGGUAAUGGUUUGCAUUGUUGGACAGUUUAAUAGAGAACCAGAAUGGCAGAAGUCUCCCCAUCUCAGUGGUCAGCCCCAUCAGAGAAGUCAUCUGAGAAACACUCUGAGAGGCUAAUAUCUUCUCUUCCAGCGGUCCUCCUCUUACAACCUUAAUGCACUCAACAACCAUUGCCACAGUUCCCAAUUCCUGUAAUGUCCCAAAGUCACUUUGGAAGAACCUCAGUCUCAUUUUAUCUUUCCUAAGCAGGAAUGAGGUAUGAGGUGGAACUGUAUCUAGUAUUUCAAGAGAGAGAAGGCAUGAUCUAGGCAUCCAUGGCCAUCCUUGACACUGUGUGAUUUGGAACCAGGCUUUGAUCUUUCAGGCCCUCAAAUUGCUGAUCUAUAAAUGGAGGUGACGAUUCAUUCUUCCAAGCUUGGAUCUCAUCAUCACCUUCUCAGAGAGACCUUUCCUGCCUAAUCCAUCCAACAAGCCACCAAACACAGACAGUGCCUGGCUCUCCACCCCAUUAUCCAGCCUGAUCUGUUCCUGCACUUCAUCACCUGACAUUGUAUUAUCUAUGGAUUGGUUCCUGUGUGCCUCCUUCUAGACUGUAAAUGCCACGGGGACAGGGACAGUGUCCCAGCGGCUUUCAGCUGUAUCCUAGCACCUAGCACUGGGCCUCACACAUGGAGAUGUUGUGUGAAGUUUGUUAAGUGAGCACAGGACCCACCACAUCUACCUUCCUUCUCACAAAGUAACAAAGCUUUACUGUUGCAUUCCCAAACCCUGGGAGCUCACUGAAUUCCUUGCUGAAGGCAAGGACAGAAUACAAGUGUCCCUUGUCAGGUGAGUGAGCAGGUACUCAAGGUAUUUGCAGGACCUUGUUUCACUGUGCCUACCAGGGAGGAAAUGCAUUGGUCUUUGGGAAAGGAACCACAGUAUCAGUGCAUCCCAGUAAGUACCUGGUUAUUAUUGAUCAUAACACCUGAACUUAUCCUGCAGACUUAAUCUGCAGGGGACUAAACGUUUCAUUCUUUUUUCUAAAUGUGUCCUGUGUUUCUGUGUAUCUUCUUUUUAAAUAUUUAUUUAUAUGACUGUUCCAGGUCUUAGUAGUGGUAUGGAAACUCUUAGUUGCAGCAUGUGGGAUCUAGUUGCCUGACCGGGGAUCACAGCACCCUACCUUGGCAGUGUAGAGCCUUAGCCACUGGACCACCAGGGAAGUCCCUAUCUCCUUAUUUUUUAACUCAAGGAGUACUGGGGUUUGAUGAUGAAAGGCACUAAGACAAAAUGAAAAACAUGUGUACUAUCCCCCAUGUCUAAUACUCCAACCAUACCUACUACAUGCUCACAAAUGUUUUUUAAAAUAAACUAAAGUGAGUGAUAAAAGAAAGAUAGAUUACCUACAGGGAUGGGAGCAAUUCACUAAGCACUGGUAAAGGGAGCUUGUGUACAGGGGUUGAUGCCUAAGUAAACAUGGGGACCAGAGCUGAUAUCCUUUGGCAGGUAAAACAAUAUGACUUGGUGAAAUUUUGCAAAUCUUUCUGAAGGAAAUACGUCAGAGUUGUCUAGAGACUAUCACUUGGACUCUUCUCAGGCUUUCCCCUCCAUCAGUCCUAUUGUGCUCUGAAAAAGAAGCUUUCAGAGGCUUAACUCCAUGGCUUAGUCUUUAUUUCAAUAAUAAAAAAGGAGGAAAUCCCAGCCAGAGUUCCCAGGAAGGAGGACAGAUACACGCUAAUCACACUAAUCUACUAUCAAGGUAGCUCAGGAAUUAUUGUCAGGCAGCACGGUGCUGUGAUUUAUAACACAUUCAUCUUUGCGAGUGGGACAAGAUUAUCAGUAAAACCCAGUAAGUAGACAAUAUGUCACUAAAGUAGGAGGCUUAAUGUGGCUGUUGAACUUACUGCAGUAUUUGUAGGGCCUGAGCGUCAAGAAAUGAAUGGUUUAUGUGGACUAACAUUCAUUCUGAUGUAGAAAGAAAUGUUAAAGUAAUGGCACGGAGGCUAGGCUAAACGUGGAGCAAAAGUAGUCAUGUGGAUGAACCAAAAGCAACAGACUGAAACAGUUCAGUCCGAGAGUAGACCAUAAAGAAAAAAGCAAAGUUUGGCUAAACACUGCUAGUCCUUCUAAACCUGGCUAGAUCAGUGCAUCUGAGCCACAAUUUCUUCACCUGUAAAAUGAAAAUACGUCAUCUCACCUCAAAAGUUUUUUUAAUAUUUGGCAAAACUAAUACAAUAUUGUAAAGUUUAAAAAUAAAAUAAAAUUUAAAAAAAUAAAAUAAAUAAAAAUAAAAUAAGUUAAUGGAUAUGAAACUACUUUAUAAACUAGUAAAUGCUAUGUACAUGUAAAAUAUUAUGAUUGUUUUCAGAAAAAAAGGCUAGGAUGGCUAGUAUACUUCUCCAUAGAGAAUAUGUAGGUUCUUAGUAAAAGAGCUAUUUUCAUGUUGAUCUGUAGCCAUAGACAUUGGUGAAAACCGCUUUCUCUUCUACUGAAGUAGAAGAGACACUUAAACGUCACCCACAUGAGAAUGGCAGAAAGGAAGCCAUCCUGUAUAGGCCUGCAUUGUAGCGUGAAUCCUAGGGGUGACCGAAAGGUUGCCUUUGGAACUGGAACGACACUUCAGGUCACCCCAAGUAAGUCUAAAUUCCUAAGCAUUUCUCCUUCCUUGUGUUGUCAUCUCACAGAUUGUAAUGUUUGGAGCGCAUGAUGGGGAUGUAAUAAGCCUUUUCUGGCCAUUUUUUGAAAGAUUUAAAUAAAGCUAUUUAGAAAGAUCCCUCAUCCAACCCUUAAUGUUCUAAUAGUUUUGUCUCAUCCAAGUUGUGUUCUUUCUUAAUAGAAUAGAAAGCCAAGACAUUGCCCAUGAGGCCAACUGAAACAGUAAAUUUGCAGAGAAUAAGAACCAAAGAGAAGGCAAGUGAUUUUUUUUUUUUAAUCAGACCCGAACCAGAAUGGAUGCCCUUUAAUCAGAGGCAUGCCUGACUUUGGGGACAGAACAGAACUCAAGUAGGUAACCAAGGUGCCACGGAGCCACUAAGUCUGCAAGAUAAGGAGGUAGGAGCGAGCAGUAAGUUGUCACUCUGUGAUCUGGAUGUUAUUCCCUGAAGUUUCAGAUUGAUUGAAGUUAAAAUUGGGAGAGACACUAUGGCAGGAAUUUAAAGUUUGAUAAGUGUAAUGAAGACAAAAGAGCUAGAUACAUCUGCUGGAUAAACAGAGUUGAAAAUCACAAGUUGGAUGGUGAUAGACCCAGGGCUGUGAGUAGAUCAAGGCUUCAUUUUAAGUGUUGCACAAUAAAUGCUCAUAAUUGAGUCGAAUGGCCUGUGUUAUGCAGAAUGUAAAAAGAAAGUUAAGACGAAGGGGCUGUAUCUCUCAGUCUUGGGUAUAAGAUGUGUGGGCUUGCAGGGGUUUUUGACUGACUAAGAAACACUGUGGGAAGGAUGGAGGCUAUACAUGGACCUUCGGAAGUGGGACUAGACUGCUGGUCAGGCCUGAAGUCAAGGACCCCAACCCCACUGUGUACCAGCUGAGAAGCCCCCAAUCCAGUGACACUUCUGUCUGCCUAUUCACCGAUUUUGAUUCAAAUCAAGUCAACAUGGAAAAAAUCAUGGGGUCCGAGGGGAGCACGGUGCACAAAACAAACAGCACCGUGCUCAACAUGGAGAUCCUGGGAUCCAAGAGCAACGGGAUAGUGACUUGGGGAAACACCAGCGAUGCUGGAUGCGAAUACACCUUCAACGAGACCAUUCCCUUCGCCUCCAGCUUGGAAAUCUCCUGUAAUGCCAAGCUGGUAGAGAAAAGCUUUGAAACAGAUAUAAACCUAAACUCCCAAAACCUGUCAGUGAUAGUGUUCCGCAUCCUCCUCCUGAAGGUGGUCGGGUUUAAUCUGCUCAUGACGCUGCGGCUCUGGUCCAGUUGAGGUCACCGACAACCUGAGAGCCCCGUGCUCCCUCGCCCCUUGCUCCUCGUCGCCCUUCCUCUCCCUCUUCAAGCAGAGAGGCGCACUCUCUGCCCCCAUGGAUGAGAAGGCUCCCUCCUCCUCUCUGGCCUGGCUGGCCAUAACACCAACUGGAUCCUCCAGAUACUGGUGAUCAAGAUGCUGACAAGCUGCCCAGCACGGCUGCCACCCACUCUCUUCCUCACUGCUGCUUGUCACUGCCUGGCAUUCUUGGCAAAGUCGGGGGGCUGCUGCAGCCUCUCCUGGCUGUGGGGACACUCCCUCCCCACCCCCACCCCCCAGAGACUGCCUCUGAUGUCCCACUGGAUGGUGGAUCCCCAGUGGGUUCUCCUGGGCUCUAGCUCCUGGAGAAUGUUGUGUGUUGUUUAUAUUUUUUUACAUAGUGUUCAUAAAAAAAUAUAUAUCACCCUUUUCCCCAACAUGUGGGGAAAAAUUAUCUUUUCACGAUCUAGGCCCUGCUCUUCUGUGUAUCCGAGCCACAUUGUAUAUUCUGCUGCCACGGCUUCAAUAAAAGCGAUUUGGAAGAGAC